rnacentral:lncRNA from 1 species
UUUAUUUAUUUGUAAAAAAAAAGUCUUUUAUUGUUUUUAUUUUUUGGGCUAAUGUUAUGCUCUAGUGUAGUGUUCUUUAGUGUAUGCGGGAUAAAUUUUUGGUACUAGGAGCACAAGAUCAUCAGGAGGCAGAUAAGGAAGGAGAAUUGGUUCACCAACACCCUAAUGUGAAAAGUGACAAACCCAACCUGGCGUAUCGGUGAAAUUCAAGAAUAGGUUAUGGGUUCUCAAGACUAUCAAAGCAAACAGAAUUCUGAAGAUGGAGGAUCCUUAGAGUUGGUGACAAGAAAACUCUCGAGAUGUCGUUGGUGUCAUGGAGGAAGGAAGAACGCCAACAGAAAAUAUCAAGACCCACUUAUGGGUGUUUGGGCAUUACCGGGUCAAGCUAAACGUUAAAAGAGCGCUUGCUGGGAGGCAACCUAGUUUUUGAAUUUUUUUUUACCUUUUAUUUCGUUUUGAUUUGAUUUGAUUUGAUUUGAUUUAAUUUUAUUUUAUUUUAUUUUAUCUUAUUUGAUUUUUUAUUUAUUUUUAUUUUAUUUUUGGGUUAUGCGCUGCUUCUGAUGGCAGUAAUGAUAACAUCUACUGAUAGAUGCUAUAUGGUUAGACAUUUACUGAUCGAUGUCACUAACGGCUUUUAUUGAUUAAUGCUACUGGGAUAGCAUCUACUAAGGGAUGCUAGAAGAUUAAGGUAUCUACUGAAGGAUACAAGAAGGUACACCUACUAAUGGGUGACGGUAAGUUUUACACCUACUGAUGGGUGCUAGAAAGGUGAUACGCGGGGCCCAAGCCCAAUAAAUAAAAUCUAUCCAAAACAAGAAGAAGGGCAAACAAGACAUUUCCACAUGGGGAGGGGUGAGCUUAACAUGCCAGGAGGUGCAUCAUGAAGCUUUUCCAAAUCAGAAAUCUGUAUGCAUCGUGUUUUUCAUUGUAAAUGUGUAGACUUCUAGAUUUUCUUUCCUGCACAUGUUGAAUAAGUCUUCUAGAAGGCUGGCACAUUUUGCACAUGGCAUCUUACGUGGCAUUAAAUCCACAAUUCACGGAUCUAAGCAUUUUCUUUGCCAAGGCCGACGGGUUCUCUUAUAAAACCCACAAGGCAGCUUCUGUAGGACACUUUUGGAUGAUAAUAGAGAAAACUUUGCUGAAAUGCAUUGUCAAUUUCUCCUUCCCGAAAGUCACUCCAUGCUUUGCUUUCUCCUCUGCAACUUCCUUCCUUGUGUGAAGGCUUUCUGAGUUGUAGCCAUUUCAUUCAAGGCUUCUUCCAUUUCACAUCACCUCUGCAAACACCUUCAUCCGCUGCAUCCCUUCCAAACACAUCCAUCCAAAACAAAGCCUCUGCAACAGUCAUGGCUCUGCACACUAGGUCCGGUACUGUUCCAUUGGUUUUCAACCUCUACAUUGUUUUUCCAAGCUUCUAAUCUCACAGAUCUGGAAGAAUACAUCAAGC